UACGUAGGUGGCAAGCGUUGUUCGGAAUGACUGGGCGUAAAGGGUGCGUAGGCGGUGUAGCAAGUUAGAAGUGAAAUACCUAGAGCUUAACUCAGGUGCUGCUUCUAAAACUGCUAUACUUGAGUGCAGUAGAGGAAAGUGGAAUUCCUAGUGUAGCGGUGGAAUGCGUAGAUAUUAGGAGGAACAUCAGUGGCGAAGGCGACUUUCUGGACUGUAACUGACGCUGAGGCACGAAAGUGUGGGGAGCAAACAGG
rnacentral:rRNA from 1 species